rnacentral:rRNA from 1 species
AGCAGUGGGGAAUAUUGCACAAUGGGCGCAAGCCUGAUGCAGCCAUGCCGCGUGUAUGAAGAAGGCCUUCGGGUUGUAAAGUACUUUCAGCAGUGAGGAAGGCGGGUACGUUAAUAGCGUGCUUGUUUGACGUUAGCUGCAGAAGAAGCACCGGCUAACUCCGUGCCAGCAGCCGCGGUAAUACGGAGGGUGCGAGCGUUAAUCGGAAUUACUGGGCGUAAAGCGCAUGCAGGUGGUUUGUUAAGUCAGAUGUGAAAGCCCGGGGCUCAACCUCGGAAUUGCAUUUGAAACUGGCAGACUAGAGUACUGUAGAGGGGGUAGAAUUUCAGGUGUAGCGGUGAAAAUGCGUAGAGAUCUGAAGGAAUACCGGUGGCGAAGGCGGCCCCCUGGACAGAUACUGACACUCAGAUGCGAAAGCGUGGGGAGCAAACAGGAUUAGAUACCCUGGUAG